CCUGUAUAUUAUUUGAACUUGAAGUUGAGGUCACUGGUUGGUCAAUGAACUCUCACAUGUAGGUAGUAUGCUAAAUGAGGGUCAAGUUUUUCGCUAAUGUCACAGGGAUCUCUGGCCCAGUGAGUGGAGUUUGAUAGUAAGUUUUGCUACCCCA